UCCCAGAUAGCCGUACUCAAAAUGGAGGCCCUCUCCGGGCUUUGGGAAGGGAAAGUGCUUCCAUUUUGUGUGCGGCUGUGUGGAG
rnacentral:pre_miRNA from 1 species